GUUUGUCCCAUCAGCUUCCUCCACAGAGCCUGAACCAGCACCAGCUCCACUCUGCAGGAAAGAGGAUGUGGAAAUGAAGAGGGAGGCUCUGAUGACUCAACACAGCCACCCAAACAGGCAAUCUCCCUGGGACUUGCUCAGGGGAUUUUCUCCCCCCUACAUGAAGCAGAGAAAUAGUGAGUUUCCUCCAAGAUGUCAUAUCCAAGAUGGGUGUUCCUGAUCUGCCUGUAGCUCUCCUCCAACCCAGACUCCUUUCAAACUGUGGCUCCACCAUCUUCAAUAUGGAGCUUCCAAGAUUGCCCCACUGCCCUGCACCAAGCCUGCAAAAGAGGAUAGGGGUCAGGCCACUCAUAUUUCACUGGACCAAAUUCAGUCACAUGGCCACACUCACUGCAAGGGAAGCUGGGAAAUGGAAUCUAGCUCUGUGCCCAAGAAGCAGAGAAAAACAGAUUUGAUGAAGACUUAGUCAAUCUCUGCAACAAUGAAACAGA
rnacentral:lncRNA from 1 species